AUUAUCUAUGGUGUAAGUUAAAUU
rnacentral:siRNA from 1 species